rnacentral:rRNA from 1 species
AAACAUCGCCUCUUGUUAAAUUAUAAGAGGUCCUGCCUGCCCCGUGAUUUAUUUUAACGGCCGCGGUAUCUUAACCGUGCAAAGGUAGCAUAAUCAGUUGUCUCUUAAAUUGGGACUAGUAUGAACGGCACCACGAGGGUUUAACUGUCUCCCCCUUUUAAUCAAUGAAAUUAACCUUCCCGUGAAGAGCCGGGAAUAUAACUAUAAGACGAGAAGACCCCAUGGAGCUUUAAACUUAUUGUCAUUUAUUUAAUAGUACAACACACUACCAGAUAAAAGUGCCUCAUAGUUUUUGGUUGGGGCGACCCUGGAGAAAAAUUAAUCCUCCAGAUUGAAAGGAUAAUAACCCUUAUAUAAGAAUCACCAUUCAAAUAAACAAAAAUUUGACAAAACUGACCCAGAGUAACUGAUCAGUGAACCAAGUUACCCUGGGGAUAACAGCGCAAUCCAUUUCAAGAGCCCAUAUCGACAAAUGGGUUUACGACCUCGAUGUUGGAUCAGGGGAUCCUAGCAGCGCAGCCGUUGCUAAUGGUUCGUUUGUUCAACGAUUAAUGCCCUACGUGAU